rnacentral:lncRNA from 1 species
UUCGUGGGAAACAUAGCAUUCCGUGAAAAUCGAAGCUGAUUGAAAAUCGAAGCUGAUUGUGUCUGAAUCUACUUGAUAUUCCGAAUCUGAAACUCGUAGAUUUGUCAAUUUAUUUCUCUAUUUAUGAUUUUAGGUCUUUUUUUAAUUGUUAAUCCGAAUCUGGAACUCGUGGAUUCUUAUACCUCUCCGCCGGCUGCAAAGUUCCGGUGUUUGGCCUGAUAAUUUUACCUACCC